AGGUCAGUGGCUAUCUCGUCCGCCUGAAAAGCGGAAGGUCGGCGGUUCGAUCCCGCCCCUGGCCA
rnacentral:tRNA from 1 species